GACCCGAGACUGGGGGCAACUAUAUUAGUCCAAUCUCGGGUUUGAGAAGGUGGGACGUACUGGCCACCGCUCAAAUCCCGGGAGAACCUUCUGGAACCUGUGUAAUGUCAAAGGCAGCCUUAAAGGAAAACUGCUUACCAGUUGGCGAAACAGUUCGGAUACCCAUGAGUUCACACAAUCUGGAUAGAGCUGGAAACUGAGGCUUGGAGAACACCAGUACCAGAGCAGAGCAGGAGAGAGAUCUAAGGGGUCCUGAGGUCAGGUCUGCAUAGUCUCCAUUAUCUGCCUUCCUUCUAGUACUCACCAUGGCGGUCCCAGGUGUAAAGGGGUGUGAGCUGUGAAGAAAGGAAGUGGGGUAAGAGGAGGAUGGAGAAGAGGUGACAUGAGGGGAAUGAGAGAAGGGAGGGAAGAUGGGGUGAGGGGGAUGGGAAGAGGAGGGGAAGAGAGAUAGGGUGGGAGGUAAGGAAGGGGGAUGAGAAGGGAAGGAGUAGUGGGGAACAAAGACUAGAAGGGAGGGGAGAUGGGAUGAUGAGGGAAUGGAACAGUGUGACAAGGAGGUGGGCAUGGUACAGUGAGGGGGCCCAGGACUGGUGCUGGCUCCUUAGAUCCGGGGGCUCUUACUCCCCCACCUCCAGACUCAUGGGGGCCUGGGCUGUGGGUGGCUCUACUUCUUAUUCCAGUUCUAUUUUGCCUCCUCCAGCCUUGCCUGUGCCAACACGGAGGCAGAGUUUAGUCACUGGGCCUUACCUGGUCCCUGCUGACGCUAUGUUGUGGGCUUAGACCUUGGGGCGGGGUGUGGGGGGGUUGUAGCACCUAUGCCUUCAGGUGCUGAUGACAUGGACCCCAUUGUUUGCUGGGUUCUCUAUGGCCACCCUGUGUCCUGUUGCCCUAAGUAUCAGGUGUGUGUUAGGAAGCCGGGUGUACAGUGUGCCAUAGGUGUAAGAAUGUAGGCUAUGUUGACCUUGUGAGUUGACUUGCCACAUCUGUGCCUCAUUUCCUUCUUUGUAUAAUGGGUAUAGAAAACGGGUAUAGUACCUCACUGAGUUGUUGUGAAGGUUAAUUAAGGUAACAUAUGCAUCUAGUUCUGCACUUGGUAUGUAGUUAAUGCUCAGCAAAGUUAACUGUUACUCUCUAUAUUCACAGAUGUCUGGAUGUGUGAGUGCAUCUGUUUGAUGUUUGAGUCUGAUUGGGAGUUAUUGUUGUAUCUGUAAUGUGAUUUGUAAGUGAGAAUAUAUCUGUGCAAUAUUUUUGUGUGGUAGUGUGCCUGAUUCUGUAUUAUUUGCUGUGUAUGUGAUUUUGUGUUAGUAUACAUAUGUGACUAAAUGACUGUGUAGGUCUGUGUCGACAUGACAAACAGCUUCGUGGAUGUUGACAUGUUGACAUCAUGUCUGCCCAGUGUAUGCAUGAAUCUGUGAUCGUGUCAGUUCUGAACACUUGCAUUCACCCUCCCUCCUUAUGGAGACGUCAUAACCCUAGGUGUCCCUCAUUUUCUCACCCUGAGGGAACCGGAACCCCGGGGGCUGGGGUGGAGGUGGGUGCCACUAAGGAGGUGUUUAGACAGGAGCACAUGUUCCCUCCCAGACUGUGUAUGGGAGGGGAGCCUCCUAUCUUGCACAUAUCCUGAAGACUUCAGAGGAAGUGCUCCCCCACCUAGCCCAUUCUUAGUUCCCUGUCUUGUUGCCAUGGCAGCCGUUGCCAGGGGCUCCCAUGGUUGCUAAGAUCUGGGUGUGGGAGGCUGCCAGGCCCUGUUGCCAGUAGAAACAGAGAAUCCGGGGGAAAGCAAGACUACCCCCACAGCUGCCAGCUCUCUGCAGUGACAGGACUGGUCCUUGGACCUCUCCUGUCCCCAGAUUGUACCUAUGAUUUGUAUGUGGUAAUUCUAUUGUUAGUGAGGAGGCUUUCACAGGAAGUUGGAACUGGAAUACUGGGAUCUACCUUCUGAAGAGACCGUGACUCUAGCAUGCCCAUUACCAUCUUUAAGGUCACGACCGAGAGUUGUAGGUACAACAGUUGGUCUAUGAAGUUAACUAAAGAAAUUAAGUUUCCCGACCCAGUUAUUCUAAUGUUCUAUGGUCAUAUGGGUCUCUACAAUCUUGAAUAUGCCUCCAGCUCAGCUGGACUUAGGGCUGGGCAUUCACCAGAAGGUGCUUAACCAUUUGUAGGCAUCACAAGUCUCAAGAGGACGGGAUGCCUGGUAAGUAUCCCACCCCCAACUCAACAGUUUUGUCACAUGGUUAUACAGCUUCACUACCUUCCCUGGUAUCUAGUUACCUUUUCGUGCUAUUGAGGAGAAGUCUGCCUCUCCUCCACCUUUGGUCUUAGCUUUGUCCUUGAGGUCACAUUGACCUCAUCAGUCCCACCUGCCAGACAUCAGCCAUCUACAUUACCUCAACCCUGUUUCUCUCCAGGGUGAGACACCUCUCAGGCCUUCAUGGUUUCCUCUUUUGUCUUGCUUCAUUCCAGCUCCCAAAACUAUGCUCCCCUGGCUGGGUUUCAGUUCAUAGUGCCUGGCUCUGAUUAGCUUUUUCCAGGAGUGCUGGUACAGUGUACAAAUGAGCCAGCCUGCCUUCCACUUCUGACUCUGAACUUCUUUCUACAUAGCCUCAUGUUACAUCAGUUUUUUUUUUUCUGUAGCUACCUCAUACUGUUCACCCAUAUCAAGUGAAGACUACAACCUCCUCUUCCUGAGCUGCUGGAUCACAUCUUGCCCAUUUGUACGAUUGCCCAAAUGUUACAAUUUUGAAAGGAGUGUUACAUUUAUUUUUAAAAAACAAAGAUACUUGAAAUAAAUGAAACAAACAUUUUUUCAGUACCUUCUGCAUUUUAGGACAAGCCUCAGGCUUGGAAAUCUCUGCAUUUAUGUUUACUUAAAGAUGGUACAGGAGGGGCUGAAGUGCUUGCUGCAUGAAGCAGCACAUGUGCUAAAAUUGGAACCAUACAGAGAAGAUGAGUAUGGCCCCUGCACAAAGAUGACAUGCAAAUUCAUGAAGCUUCCAUAUUUUUGGUUUUGAUGAAUGUUGAAAUGUAAUAAUGUAAAGUGAAUGUAUAUAUGAAUAAAUUAGUAUAUUACCAAAAAAGAAACAACAAAAACAAAAAAAAAGAGGGACUGAAGAUCCCCAGCUGGCUCGACUAUGACUUCAGCACUGUGGACAGAGGCCAUUAGCCGUACCCCUGGCUAUGCCUGUGAUUGUGGGUGGGUGGAAGAUGAUACACACACAGAUUUUAGAUGGGGCCAGAAAUCCUUGCUGCUCACUUAGUGCCUUAUAGUGUAUAAAGCUCUUUCCUCUCACCAAAUUCAUUCUUGUCUUCACUCAAUUAUCAGCCCAGGAGACAGGACAGGAAUUGUUUCCCAGACUUUUGCAGAUAAGGAAACUCAAGUUCAGCAAGGUCAAACUCCAAGCAACACUUUAGGUGGGGUGGGAAAGAGAACACUAUUCCAUGCUUAGCAAAUUUGGCAGCUACUGUUUCCCCUUUGAAGAAUGACUUUCUUAGAGAUGAUAGGAGUGCACUUGAGCCAAAGCAGGGCAGUGUGAGUGGAAGUUUGUGUGGAGCCAAGGGUCCAGCAAGCCAUGAGAACAAGUGGCAGUUGGGAGGGGGAACAGUCCUUAGAGGGCCUAAAGUUCAUCAGGAUUGUUGUACUGAGGGUGGGGAAACCUUGCUUUUCAUUAGGGUCCACAGAGGCCCUGCUUUUAUGUUUCUUUUUCUGUCCUAAUGCUUGCCUUCACUGAACUUGAGACAGAAGAAGGGACCCUUAAGAUCUCAAGCUGUCUCUGAGCCCGAUAGACCUCCAUUUGAAAACUCCAGGGAGGAGAGUUUCCAUAUUUUACAUAAUAACUCUCAUAAAUACUCAAAUCCCUCCAAAAGAGAAGAGGCAAUAAGGAAGUGCUAAAUACCCCAGAGAGGUCAAGUAAGAAGAUACCUGAGAAAAAGUCACUAGACUUGACAAUUAGGUCACUGGUGACUUAAGAAAGAAACAAUUCAGCAGAAUGAUGGAUGCAGAAGCUGAAUUAUAGGCAGUAGGAAGAAGAGGGGGGGAUCUGCUGAGAUGCUCCUUAUUCUGAAAUCCGUGAAUAAUGAAGACACCUGCAGGAUAACAGAUCAAUAAAGCAAGAGUUAAACUCUAUUCAGAUGUGCUGAGAAAUGGA